AGUAACACGUAAACAACCUGCCUUCAGGAUGGGGACAACAGACGGAAACGACUGCUAAUACCGAAUAAGUUCCAAGAGCCGCAUGGCCCAUGGAAGAAAAGGUGGCCCCUACCUGUAAGCUAUCGCCUGAAGAGGGGUUUGCGUCUGAUUAGCUGGUUGGAGGGGUAACGGCCCACCAAGGCGACGAUCAGUAGCCGGUUUGAGAGGAUGAACGGCCACAUUGGGACUGAGACACGGCCCAG
rnacentral:rRNA from 1 species